CCUACGGGUGGCAGCAGUGAGGAAUAUUGGUCAAUGUGCGCGCGCCUGAACCCGCCAAGUCGCGUGAGGGAAGACUGUCCUAUGGAUUGUAAACCUCUUUUGUCGGGGAGCAACAUACGCCACGCGUGGCGUUCCGAGAGUACCCGAAGAAAAAGCAUCGGCUAACUCCCUGCCAGCAGCCGCGGUAAGACGGAGGAUGCGAGCGUUCUCCGGAUUUAUUGGGUUAAAGGGGUGCGCAGGCGGAAGAUCAAGUCAGCGGUAAAAUUGAGAGGCUCAACCUCUUCGAGCCGUUGAAACUGGUUUUAUUGAGUGGGUGAGAAGUAUGCGGAAUGCGUGGUGUAGCGGUGAAAUGCAUAGAUAUCACGCAGAACUCCGAUUGCGAAGGCAGCAUACCGGCGCUCAACUGACGCUCAUGCACGAAAGUGUGGGUAUCGAACAGGAUUAGAUACCCUAGUAGUC
rnacentral:rRNA from 1 species